ACCCGCUCGACGCCAGAACAGGCCACGUGGGGGUCUCUGGUGGCACUUACUAGACGCGCCCCUCCUUGCCCCCCGGGCCCGCCCCGUCCGGGCGUCCGUGACCCCGGUUCGGCCUCAGCUCGGCGCCCCCUCGAGAAAGGCCCCCGAUGCCGGGGAAGGAGCUCCCUGGGGGCACCCAUGAGGGCCCCUCUUAGGUGGGCACGUCCUCGUGGAGCCGGGGACCCUGAGUCCCUGGGAAGCACCCUCGUGGCGCCUAAACACCCCCCCCCCCCCCGCACCUCUCGUGCCUGUGGCCCCGACGCUCAAGGGCUCCAGGCCGCAGGGAGCUUCAAACUCCUGUUUCAACGAAAGGAGAACUUUUCGAGAACGCGGCUGGGGGGCGGGGAGCGCCGAGCCGGCGGGGCGGCCGUGUUGCCCGCGCACUCGGGGCUCCCGCCUGCCCGCGCCUGGCAGCGACCCCGACAUGGCCCGUUUGGAGAGUGAGCGGGACGGUGGCUCCGGGCGCGGGCAGCUUCCGCGCGCAGCAGCGUGAUCCCGGUGCUCCCCACGAACCGAGGGCCUUCCGCGCGCACAGCCUCUCACGCCGCGCACACAGGCGCCUUUCCGUUGCCACUUCGCAGGGGAGCUGGGCUUUUUAAAAGGUCUGGGGUGAGUCUGGCCUGAACUGAACUGGUAACUGCUGUGAGCCCUCCUGAGGGAGCCUGCAAUGUUCUCCCCCACGUUCGCCGUUUCAGGAGUGACCAGAGCCUUAUGCAGCACGGGACCCCCUUCCAGCAUUUUCGGAGUGUGAGGCCCGUCAUGGUUUUCUCUCCGGGGAAGAAAAUCUUUAACCAUUGGGGUUCCGAUCUGUGUCCACUAAGACGCUGGCACACCUUGCUGGAGAAAGGGUUAUUCUCCGAAUUUUGUAAAGAUACAAAUUUAGAGAUGAAUGAAUGAAGGAAUCAUGGUAGAUACCCUAGGUAUCACUGAGUAAUCUCCCCCUUGAAAUGUGAGGCUUGCGGGGUUCACAUGUUUGCACUAGAGUUAUGAAAGACUUUUUCACUUAUUAGAAAGUAUCUUAUUAGAAAGUAUUUACGAUGGGGCGCCUGGGUGGCUCAGUCGUUAAGUGUCUGCCUUCGGCUCAGGUCAUGGUCCCAGAGUCCUGGGAUCCAGCCCCGCAUCGGGCUCCCUGCUCGGCGGGAAGCCUGCUUCUCCCUCUCCCACUCCCCCUGCUUGUGUUUCCUCUCUCGCUAUAUCUCGCUGUCAAAUAAAUAAAAUGAAAAAAAAAAAAAAGAAAGUAUUUACGGAUUAGGAAACCCAGUGGGACACCAUUUUGUCAUGCUUUUAAAGAGGGGGGAGGGGCGCCCGGGUGGCUCAGGUCAUGAUCCCAGGGUCCUGGGGUCGAGCCCCACAUGGGGCUCCCUGCUCGGUGGGAAGCAAGCUUCUCCCUCUCCCACUACCCCUGCUUGUGUUUCCUCUCUCGCUAUAUCUCGCUGUCAAAUAAAUAAAAUUAAAAAAAAAAAGUAUUUACGGAUUAGGAAACCCAGUGGGACACCAUUUUGUCAUGCUUUUAAAGAGGGGGGAGGGGCGCCCGGGUGGCUCAGGUCAUGAUCCCAGGGUCCUGGGGUCGAGCCCCACAUGGGGCUCCCUGCUCGGUGGGAAGCAAGCUUCUCCCUCUCCCACUCCCCCUGCUUGUGUUCCCUCUCUCGCUGUGUCUCUCUCUGUCCAAAAAAUAAAUAAAAUCUUUAAAAAGAAAAAAAAAUAAAGAGGGGGGGAAAGGUAGUGUUGCGAGCUGUGCUGUAGGGACCCCUUUUGCGGCCACAUAUAUGAACCCAGAGCACAUGGCCAGUUUUCCCUGCCCUGCGUCCCUCAAUCCGGUGACUAAUACUCCCACACCUGGAAAUGCAGUGGUCAGGCUUUGUUUUACAAUUCCUUUACGUGUUGGGGAUUCCUCUCGAGCCAAACUGUUGCCACGUUUCCAUCUGAGACAGAAACAUGGGCUGAGAGAGCCAGGCGGCGCCACAAGGAAGCGGCAGCUUGCGCCAGUGUCUAUUUAAGGAUUGUGGAAACUCAACAGGAGCUGGAGACCGUUCUCAACUUGCUACCUCUGCCUCUGGGUAAACAAGUUCCAGGCUUCCUUUGGUUUGUAAAUCUGUUCAGUUUGUUUCAAUGUUUCCCAGGUACAAACUCUUGCCAGUAAGGUUUACUUUUUUUCUGAAAUUGCUACUAUUCCAGGCUAAUGUAACAAAGAGAUCAAGCUGCCGCUGACAUUAUAUUCUAUGCAGUCCCAGAGGAUAGGAACUUAAUUCACUGUUCGUUUUACUCCUGGCUGAAAGUGACCAAGUUGGUUCCCAAGUGUGAGGAAAUCUUGAAGAAUGUAGCCUUUUUUACGGGAAUUCUAUUCAAAGGUAGCGCUUUUUUCUCAUCAAAGGUAGCUAGUAGAUAACUACAAUAAAAGACACUCUACAAAACGAAAAACAAAGCCCCAAACCAUAAAAAGUGACAUGAUAUUCCUAACGUUGUCCUUCUCACUUUUCUCUCAGGCUCAGUCCAGCUCAAGAUGCUGAUGAACUUCAGGACUGGUGCUUGAAAGACAAUUGUGCUUGAAAGAAGUUUUCAAGAGGAGAAAGACACAGCGAGAGAGGGAACACAAAGGGGGAGUGAGAGAGGGAGAAGCAGACUCCCUGCCGAGCAGGGAGCCCGAUGAGGGACUCGAUCCCGGGACUCCAGGAUCAUGACCUGAGCCGAAGGCAAUCGCUUAACCAACUGAGCCACCCAGGCACCCCAAAAUUUGGUUUUAUUAUAUGCUUACAAAUUUUUCCAUAAUAGAUCAUUUUAAUGAUUACAUUUGAUCCUUUAGACAGGAGACAGAUCAAUGGAUUCUUAAGGAUCAGUGAGGGGCUGGUUGCAAAGGAGCAUGAGGGAGUUUUGAGGAAAUGUUUUAUAUCUUGUUUAUGGUGGUGACUGCAUUUGUCAAAUUUCGGGUGAGUUUUGCUAAAUGUAAAUUGCACUUCAAUAAAUGUGACUUUAAAAACUU